CUUUUUGUAGUGUAAAAGCAAGUUAACACAUAAUCUUUUCGUGAUUAAAAUGGUUGUGCCCAUGAAGU
rnacentral:tRNA from 1 species